ACAGUCACACGAGUUUUGAUCAUGGCUCAGAACGAACGCUGGCGGCAGGCCUAACACAUGCAAGUCGAGCGCCCCGCAAGGGGAGCGGCGGACGGGUGAGUAACACGUGGGAAUUUUCCUCAAGGUACGGAACAACUCAGGGAAACUUGGGCUAAUACCGUAUGAUGCAGAGAUGCCAAAGAUUUAUCGCCUUGGGAUAAGCCCGCGUCAGAUUAGGUAGUUGGUGGGGUAAUGGCCUACCAAGCCUGUGAUCUGUAGCUGGUCUGAGAGGACGAUCAGCCACAUUGGGACUGAGACACGGCCCAAACUCCUACGGGAGGCAGCAGUGGGGAAUCUUGCGCAAUGGACGAAAGUCUGACGCAGCCAUGCCGCGUGAAUGAUGAAGGUCUUAGGAUUGUAAAGUUCUUUAGCCUGUGACGAUGAUGACGGUAACAGGAGAAUAAGCCCCGGCUAACUUCGUG
rnacentral:rRNA from 1 species